ensembl:snoRNA
AAGACUUUUAAAAAAUCUGCAAUGAUCAAGCAGGAGCCUAAAGAAAUAUCUUUCUAUGGUCUGUUGGUCAUUUCAGAACUUAGGAAAUGUAAUGGUCAAUUCAUUAGAAAGAAACAUCU